rnacentral:rRNA from 1 species
GUCGAGAAUCUUUCACAAUGGGGGCAACCCUGAUGGAGCGACGCCGCGUGGAGGAUAAGGUCUUCGGAUUGUAAACUCCUGUCAUGCGUGAACAAGGUUGCUUGGUUAAUACCUGGGCAAAUUGAUGGUAACGCAAGAGGAAGAGACGGCUAACUCUGUGCCAGCAGCCGCGGUAAUACAGAGGUCUCAAGCGUUGUUCGGAAUCACUGGGCGUAAAGGGUGCGUAGGUGGCGGGGUAAGUCAGAUGUGAAAGCCCGGGGCUCAACCUCGGAACUGCAUCCGAUACUGCCAUGCUAGAGUACUGGAGAGGUGACUAGAAUUCUCGGUGUAGCAGUGAAAUGCGUAGGUAUCGAGAGGAAUACCAAAGGCGUAGGCAGGUCACUGGACAGUUACGGACACGGAGGCACGAAGGCCAGGGGAGCGAACGGGAUUAGAUACCCCGGUAGUCC